AGUGAACGCUGGCGGUAGGCCUAACACAUGCAAGUCGAACGGCAGCACAGUAAGAGCUUGCUCUUACGGGUGGCGAGUGGCGGACGGGUGAGGAAUACAUCGGAAUCUACUUUUUCGUGGGGGAUAACGUAGGGAAACUUACGCUAAUACCGCAUACGACCUACGGGUGAAAGCAGGGGAUCUUCGGACCUUGCGCGAUUGAAUGAGCCGAUGUCGGAUUAGCUAGUUGGCGGGGUAAAGGCCCACCAAGGCGACGAUCCGUAGCUGGUCUGAGAGGAUGACCAGCCACACUGGAACUGAGCCACGGUCCAGGCUCCUACGGGAGGCAGCAGUGGGGAAUAUUGGACAAUGGGCUCAAGCCUGAUCCAGCCAUACCGCGUGGGUGAAGAAGGCCUUCGGGUUGUAGAGCCCUUUUGUUGGGAAAGAAAAGCAGCAGGUUAAUACCCCGCUGUUCUGACGGUACCCAAAGAAUAAGCACCGGCUAACUUCGUG
rnacentral:rRNA from 1 species